rfam:Parcubacteria (Giovannonibacteria) bacterium GW2011_GWA2_44_26 TW55_C0001, whole genome shotgun sequence.
GCCGGAGUGGUGAAAUGGCAGACACGCUCGACUUAAGAUCGAGUGCCGAAAGGCGUGAGAGUUCGAAUCUCUCCUCCGGCA